UAGGGAAUCUUCCGCAAUGGGCGAAAGCCUGCCGGAGCAACGCCGCGUGAGUGAUUAAGGUCUUCGGAUCGUAAAACUCUGUUAUUAGGGAAGAACAAAUGUGUAAGUAACUAUGCACGUCUUGACGGUACCUAAUCAGAAAGCCACGGCUAACUACGUGCCAGCAGCCGCGGUAAUACGUAGGUGGCAAGCGUUAUCCGGAAUUAUUGGGCGUAAAGCGCGCGUAGGCGGUUUUUUAAGUCUGAUGUGAAAGCCCACGGCUCAACCGUGGAGGGUCAUUGGAAACUGGAAAACUUGAGUGCAGAAGAGGAAAGUGGAAUUCCAUGUGUAGCGGUGAAAUGCGCAGAGAUAUGGAGGAACACCAGUGGCGAAGGCGACUUUCUGGUCUGUAACUGACGCUGAUGUGCGAAAGCGUGGGGAUCAAACAGG
rnacentral:rRNA from 1 species